UUUCCGUAGGUGAACCUGCGGAAGGAUCAUUAUCGUAUCAAAUGUGAGGGCCAUGCGAGGGCUGUCGCUGACCCAAAAGUCGUACACACCCGACUGUGUCCUCUUGCAUAAUAAUCCAUCUCACCCGUGGUGCAUCCGCGCGCCGGCACUCUUCGGACUCAUCUCGGAGGGGGGCUCGCGUUUUCACACAAACUCCCCUUUUCAAAGUGGAGACUGACCACCUUUAUGCAUUCAAAAAAACUUUCAACUACGGAUCUCUUGGCUCUCGAAUCCAUGAAA
rnacentral:misc_RNA from 1 species